UUUAAUCGUUCUCUCGCGCUCAUUCUAUGAUAAACUCGCGUAAAACACUACAAUUCCAUUUUAAAAGUAUAUCCUUUUAACCACAGUGUGGAAAUUCCCCCACCAUUUGUGAGAUAUGUUAAUGAUAAAGAGCAAUGUGCAUCUGUGUGUCAUUCCGAUGUCUGAUAUUUCUUCUAAAACAUUGUGUGUUUCUACAGCUUCUGCUCGUAAAAUAACUUCAAGCGAGCGUGGAAUGCAGCCUCUAGGAAGUUCUGCUUGUGUCUCUUGUACUCUGAUUUUUUGGAAAUCAACGAAUAUGGAAUUAUCUACAUCUAGCAGGAAACGUCUCCUAUUAUUACAUACUGGAUUAUGACAAAUUGUUGGAUUGCAGAACUGUAAAUAAUUACCCAAAUU
rnacentral:misc_RNA from 1 species